rnacentral:sRNA from 1 species
AUUCUGCCCAUGCGGGGAAGGAUGAGAAGCUUCGACCAAGGUUCGACUCGAGCGCCAGCGAGAGAGCGUUGCCGCAGGCAACGACCCGAAGGGCGAAGCGCGCAGCGCUGAGUAAUCCUUCCCCCACCACAU